rnacentral:misc_RNA from 1 species
CGUAUCCUGUCAAAGGGCCCUUUCUCGCCAUCAUAGCUCCUUGCUUUCUCAGCGGACAAGUCUUUUUCCCCUCCUUCUGCGAUGCCGUGCUUUCUCUCAGUUCUGGGCGCCGUUGCCCUGGGUGCGAUUUUUUUCAAGGUUAUCGGCUUUGUCAAGAUCAACUACCUGACAUCCCUUAACAUGAAGAAGCGUUACGGCCACGCCGGCGACUGGGCAGUUGUAACGGGCGCUAGCGAGGGUAUUGGCUACGCCAUGGCCCUCGACCUUGGCCGCCGUGGAUUCAACGUGUGUGUCAUUGCACGCACCUUGUCGAAGCUGGAAAGCGUUGUGGCGGAUCUGAAGCAGCUCGGCGUGCAGGGCAAGGCCAUUUCGUUUGAUUUCGCCUCGGCGACCCCUAAGCAGUACGAUGAUAUGUUCGCAGAGCUCGACAAGAUUGAGAUUGCCGUGCUCGUCAAUAACGUUGGCGUUAACUACACCUACACCAACAAUUUCGACGAGGUAGAUCUUGAGACGGACCUCCGCCUGCUCAAAGUAAACUGUGAGUCCAGUGUCCGCAUGACCAAGUAUGUGGUGCCGAAGAUGAAGGCGAAGCGCUGUGGUGCCAUCCUUAUGCUCGGCUCCGUCUCCGCCGUUACUCCUGCCCCGCUUCUGUGCACGUACGCCGGAACGAAGGCCUUCAACUUGUCUUUUGGCUCUGGUCUCCACUACGAAUUGAAGGAGUUCGGCAUUGAUGUUCUUGCAGUGUCGCCAAACAUGGUAGUGAGCAAGAUGACACAAGGUCUUAGCUCCCGUAAGCCACGUGAGACCUUCCUGAUGGUGAACGCUGACAACAUGGCGCAUCAGACGCUUGACAAGCUCGGAUCUGUACCUCAGACUCCCGGUCACCGCAAUCACGCCGUUCUGGAGGCAAUCGUGAGGGCACUACCCACCGAUUAUGUGUCGAACAAGAUCUUGCAGACGCAUAAGUCUAUCAAGUGUAAGGCUGAGCGAAAACGCGAAUAGUCUCCUCUGCGCGCUCUGCAGGGUGCUACCUGAUUUUUUUCUUUUUUUUUGCCGUAAAGCAUGCUUUACUUGACAGCUCCAUUUUUUGUCCUCUUUGUGGUUUCGCUUUCUUCACACCGUGAUACGCAUGUUCUUUUUUUUCAAUGAACUGUCUGUUGGCCCGUUUAUUUGCUGAGCAGUUUAUGGACGAACAACGCACUGGAAAAAAAAAACAGCUCUUUUCUUCUCUCUGUGUGACUGCUGCUUUUGACCUUGUAGACCUUGGGGUACGGGUGAGAUCGUCCUGAGCCCUCGUAGUGACUAGUGCACGACCUGAAGGGCUCGCUGAUUCCUCAGCACAGAUUCAUGUGCUGUACACAUCUGAGUUGUGUAGAAGUUGUUUUCCUCAAGCACACUACGGGUAGGUCUUACUAGGGAAAUGCGAACGCCGGACACACCAUAAAGUUCACAGAAUGCAGCGAAAAACUGCUUUUUCAGGAAAAAUACAGAAAGAAAGUCACACACAUUCUUUUUCAUUUUUCUCUGAUGCAAUAAUAGGCUACAAACGUUCUCCAUAGGGAAAGCCAUCACAUCGAAUGAUAUGUUCUAAGCGUUUGUGCUCGUACAUCGAACCUCAUGCAACCAACCACCCCCAAAAAAAAAUGAACAGCCGACCACCGCCUUUGCGACCCUUUAACCUCACGAGAACUGCUGUCUUCAAAUUUCUUCUCAGCAAGUAAAUUGGUACGAAUCAGACCUGCAAGGAAAGGUGAAAGCACUUCGAUUCUUUUUUCUCCCUAUUGAAACCUAGUGGCAGGAAAAAACGGCAGGAUGAUUGAAUAGAAUAUGAUUAUGAGAAUUGAAGUCAAAAGUCAUACGACAUUUGAAUGAGGUGCUUUUCAUUUUUUUCUACUCUUCUCUAUUUCAGGCCUCAAGAAGCUGAGUGAAUGUUUCACUUCCCCCAUCUCGUCUCCUCGGCUACCGACAACGGCAGGAGUUCCUCAGGAGGUAUGGCACUUCCCGUCUCGCUCUUCGCCUCAUGUGUGUGUUGAUGAGCACAUGAAAAUGAAGGAUAUUUCCAACACAGUACAGCCUGCACUAAGAGGCGGGGGGGGACAAACAUAGAGAAGAACGAAAAAUAAACGAAAACAUACAAUGUCCGUAUAGUCUGCCUCAUGAGCCGGAGGAUUUCCUCUUAGUAGAUAUGGACAUGUGUUGGAGCGCAUGUUUUUAUAUUUCCAGAUAAGUAACUCAACUUUUAUUUAUUCUGGCAGCC